AGUCGCGAGCGCAGCGAGCGCGAAAAUUUUUGAGUUUUGGGACAUAAAAGUACUCUAAUCAUGUUAGAAUGAACGGUACUGACAAGCGAACAGCCGCGAGCGUAGCGAGCGCGAAAAUUUUUGAGUUUUGGGACAUAAAAGUACUCUAAUCAUGUUAGAAUGAACUGUACUGACAAGUGAACAGCCGCGAGCGUAGCGAGCGCGAAUUUUUUUAAAUUGUUUG